AAAACUAUACUUCACAGGAUCAUUUCUGUAGUUGGUCUUCAUUUACAUUUUUUUUUGCAAAUCGACCGGCGAUGACGAGGUAAUCGUUUUAUCUGGCAGCGUGCGGUUUACGAACUUGAUUCUAAUUUUGUCUUGUGGCAUAUUAGAAAUGAUGUUUCUUCGAAAAUCGCUCGCUUACAACGGAUAAAACGACUUCUGAGUGGU